rnacentral:rRNA from 1 species
CCUACGGGGGGCUGCAGUGGGAAUAUUGGACAAUGGGGGGAACCCUGAUCCAGCCAUGCCGCGUGUGUGAAGAAGGCCCUCGGGUUGUAAAGCACUUUCAGUGAGGAAGAACGCCUGGUGGUUAAUACCCAUCAGGAAAGACAUCACUCACAGAAGAAGCACCGGCUAACUCCGUGCCAGCAGCCGCGGUAAUACGGAGGGUGCGAGCGUUAAUCGGAAUUACUGGGCGUAAAGCGCGCGUAGGUGGCUUGAUAAGCCGGUUGUGAAAGCCCCGGGCUCAACCUGGGAACGGCAUCCGGAACUGUCAAGCUAGAGUGCAGGAGAGGAAGGUAGAAUUCCCGGUGUAGCGGUGAAAUGCGUAGAGAUCGGGAGGAAUACCAGUGGCGAAGGCGGCCUUCUGGACUGACACUGACACUGAGGUGCGAAAGCGUGGGUAGCAAACAGGAUUAGAUACCCUAGUAGUC